AGGGGAUUUUUCCAUGUGCCUUUGUCAUUCCCACUCGUGCUCCUUUCUUCUCUCUCCUCCGUGCGGGAGGGGGAGAGGCAGGCGGCUUGCCCUCUCCUGUGCGAUGGGGUGCAGGGAGCAGCACGGUUCCUCGCCGAGCUCUUGCACAGAGCCGCCUUUUACCUCCAAUGCCUUUUUUACUGGCUGAAUCUUCCUUUUCCUCCUCUUCCACUUCCUCCGCAGCUUCCCUGGGAGGCACUGAGCCCCCCUCAUGAGCAUCUUCUUCAGCCUGGGCCCCUCUGGGGAGCAGCAGGGCUGGAAGCCACAGUGCCUCCGCUCAGGAAUAAGGGGGGAUGCGAUGGUUUCACCCCCGGAGCUGCUCUUUGCCUUCCCGCCGGGCUUUCCCCCGCCCGCGGCCCCAGCCAGCUCUGCCCUCCUCCUCCUCCUUCCCAAGUGCCUGCAUCGUUUUCCAAGAUCUGCAGUAUUUUUGUAACUUUUCCAUUUCUCUAGUAUUGAGCCUGCAGCUUUCAAAGUUCAUUUAUUCCCCGCCCCAGCUCAUGCCCUGCCCACUAACACCCAGCUCUCGCUGGGGUCCCGCAGCCCAGCAUCCCACCCCUCCUUGGCUUCGGGACCCCCAUCACUCCCCCUUUGCACUCGCUGAGGCUUCUCUCACUAUUUUGAUACUUUAAGCAUCCCAUAUUAAACAUUGAAGGAAACCAGCUCCCCCCGAGGCUCUGGGGUGGGGUGGGGGAUGCCGAUGUCUCCUUGGAAAGACGUGUUCAUCAAUAAAAUCUGGUUUUCCUGC